rnacentral:rRNA from 2 species
CCUGGCGGCCGUAGCGCGGUGGUCCUACCUGACCCCAUGCCGAACUCAGAAGUGAAACGCCGUAGCGCCGAUGGUAGUGUGGGGUCUCCCCAUGCGAGAGUAGGGAACUGCCAGGC